ACGCACACACACACACGCACACACACACAUACACACACAUCUACAACUUCUACCAGUGCAGUGUGCCAAUCUCCUCUUAACCUAGGUAAUUAGCAGCAGCCUGUUGUCACUGUAAUAUGCUGCGGUCCCAUUACAGUGUCAGGCGGCCACUAGACACGUAUGAUCCCAGGACUCUGUUUAGCAUUCCAAAGAGACAGGCAAGCAAUGGGCCUGACAAGCUGUCUGUCUAUCUCCAUCAGGACGGAGUCCCAAAGCCCCGAAGUCCUCCUCAGCAAGCACGAAGAUCUCCCUAAGUCACAGUCUGCAAGAGUCUGCAAAAAUCACUCACACCCAUCAUUUUUUUUCUUUUCUCUUAAUUUUUCAGGAUCGUUUUCUUUAUUUUAUUCCAAGUGCCAACCAAUUACCCAUGCUCCUGUAAGAUCCCGUCACAAGUCUGGCAACUGUCCCGAGCCUUUUUCCGUUUGGCAGGGAGACUGGGGGGGGGGAGCUGAAGGCGGAGUGACAGAGCUGCUGCCGCACUUGUGUUGGCAAGUGUGUGUGUGUGUGUGUGUGUGUGUGUGUGUGUGUGUGUGUGUGUGUUAGGUAGGGAGAAAGAAGUAAUGACAGCUUUUAAGAGUGGCUGCUCUAGGACAGCAAACUUCAGCUCCAUCUCCACUAACCCCCUUCUCCCCACUCCUCCUCCCCACCUCCUCUCGCCAUCUCCACCACCUUGUCCCUGUGGACGCUCCUUCCAACUUGAACAUCCUUCAGAGGGUGCCGUUAUCUCCUCAAACCAAUUAUUUGAUUAGGAGACGGAAACCGCUUCAAUAAUUUGCUUUGCUAAUGAGGAGAUGAUGCCAGAGGAGCGGUCUGGCCAUUCCCUCAGUUCUCGUCCCUCUUCCGCUCUUGUCACGGAACAGCGCGCCGGACGGACGCGGGGGUUUAUGCUCGGGAAACAAAAGAAGAAUCGGACCGGAGAUUUUCGCACAGCUUCUCACCUCCUGGUCGGCACCCCACCAGACGACAGCCUGCCCACUCCAAGCGAUGCAGCAUCUGGAGGAGGAUGGAGUUUUGGUUGGACCCUCGUGACCCCUCUUGCACACAUCACUCCACACAGUCUGGCACCACUCGGGCGAGCCUGAAGCCGGGGGCAAAUGAAGAUAGCUGGGCAUAAAACAAAAUGAAGAUAGCUGGGCAUAUAACAAAAUGAAGAUAGCUGGGCAUAUAACAACAUGAAGAUAGCUGGGCAUAUAACAACAUGAAGAUAGCUGGGCAUAUAACAAAAUGAAGAUAGCUGGGCAUAUAACAACAUGAAGAUAGCUGGGCAUAUAACAACAUGAAGAUAGCUGGGCAUAUAACAACAGCUCUACAACAUGGAGGAAGGGGCACUGGAACAUAACCAGACAUGAUUCACAGGAAACUGUGAUGCGCAUAAUGGCCUAUUGUACCCUCUGUAACCAGAUCAUAAGCUCAGUAGGCUACUCAGCAAGGAGGGACCCGAAUGGCAUUUUUCAUACUGGUUUAGAGCCACCCCUUGCAAUCUGGAGCCAAGCACACACACAGCUCCAUUUAGUCAACAACAUCACCUUCCAGAUCCUCACAGUAAAGGUGGGCAGCUCACUGAAGCCUCUCCUUGUUUGCAUGAGGUGGGCCGAUACCAAACUCAAGAGCCCCUCUCUCCAACAGAGCUUAUCCCAGCACUCUGACAAAUGUGUCUCCAGCACGGGCUGAUGGAGAGCUCUGAUAAUGACCUGAUUGUAUCUCACUCAGUCUGUUCUCCCGCACUGGAUCUCUGUCAGCGCUGCUGUCAUGCUACACCCAGCGUGAGUGCUGGCUGGCAGGCGCUGCCUUGUAAAUCAGACAGACCUGGUUUCACUCACUGUGAGACCGUCCACAAGAGAGAUGCAGAAACUCAGGGCCAAGGCACACACACACAAAAAAAAGAAGAAGUCAGGAGGACAGUUUAAUUAUGGAUCUCGAAAUAAACCACCCCAACGUCUUUGUUGUUUGUUUCCAGUCAAACAGAUUGUCUUUUUCUUGUUUUUAAUGAAAGCUGUUCAUUAAACUCAAGGUUUUAUAAACUGAAAUGAUUAACUAAAAGUCGAGCCUCUUUAUGCCUGUUAGGCUGCAGUUAAGGGCUUUGGAUGGGAGAGGGGGAAGGCGUCUAUAAUUAAGGAGUCAGUGAUGAUAUACGAAAAGCAUCCUGACGAGUCUCCAAAGACACAAUAAAAGGCUGUUUGCUAACAAGCUAGUGCCAGUAAUGACGGCUGCUUCAAAGAGAGCAGGGCUCUCUGAAACGAGGGCGUUAAGUGGCGCUGACAGAUUCAGAAAUAAUUUUAGGACCUUCGUUUUGAACAGGUGACUAAAGAAGAAGAAAAAUCAAGAAAUGUUUUGAAGUUGACCUCUAGAAUAGUCUCAUUCCUGUAAACCUCCCAUAAAAGUGAGGUUAAAUACACAUACUAUUGUAGUUAUCAGACAUGUUAGCCUCAAAACACCAGGAUUAGCAAAGCCAGGCCAGACAAAAAAAACGAUUUAAAAACGAUUUAAACUUCAUACAUAACAACAAGCCGUUUAGAAUGAGAAUCUGUUUUUCAGGCUCUAUCUUCAUGUUUCAUGAAAAAAAAAAAAAAAAAAAUAUUUGAAUAAACAUACAUGCAGUAGCCAUGACAAAAGUCAAGUGAUAUAAAUACUCCUACGUGCCUCAUUUCAUCUUAGUUUGAGCGCUGCUGCCACCUGUGCUGUUAUUUCUAUGAUCGCAUGCUUAAAUCUAUAUUAUCCCCCAUACAUCUCCUGGAUUAUGACAUGGUAUAUUACAAAAUGGACACUAUGUGCAAUCAAUUUUCAGUUCGACUGCACGCUUUCUCUAUGAGGAGAUUGUCAUUAACUUGCAGAUUAUUCAUAUGUACUGGGCUUCUACUUGAUCCCCAAGGUAGGCUUCAAUCUAGGUCAUAAUUGUUCAUUGAACACUAUAAACACAAAGGAUAUAUCAUUUAUGAAGUUGUUAAGCAAGAGUAUUUUGCAGGGAAAGUGGCUAAAUAUUGUAAAAGAUGACAAAACUGUCAGUAUACCAUGUCACAGCACAGUUUACCUGAAAACUGUAGUAUAAUAGUCCUUUCAACUCUCUCUCUCUCUCUUAAUUUGCAUGAGAGUGUGUGUGUGUGUGUGUGUGAGAGAGAGAAAGUGUGUGUGUAGGUGUGCGUGUGUCUGUAUGUGUGACAGUGUCUUCCAUCACAUCAAACUCUCCUAUUCAUUAUGAGCAGUGCAAUAAAGACUAUUUCUAAAUGAUCGGCACUUUCUCAUUUUCUGACUUUUCCACGGCGCGUGUCAGAGCUGUCUCAGAUCUCUGAUUAGAUGGACGCACGGCAAAGGCACCUCCUCGAGGC
ensembl:lncRNA